rnacentral:lncRNA from 1 species
UGAUAUCCAAAUAUUAUAAAUUGAUAAUCAUAUAUGGAAUCUAGCUGAGAGUGAAUGGGCCCAGUCAAUAUUAGAUUUCGUCAUGAUGAUCCAAAAUCCGAUGGGUCAACCAUUUUUCGAGUUGGAUCCGGAUCGUCAUAAACUAAAUUAAAUUUUUCGAGUAAAUUAAAUUUGACUGACCCAUUUGCAAUCUUAUUAUCUUACCCAUACGGCCAUACCAAACCGUAAAAAUGUAAAAUUAAUAAAUUGAUGCCGAAAAUAUAUAAAAAUUCCACGCAUGCAUGUUGAGUGACUGAUGACCUAAUUCAACCACGAUCCACGUAGGACUGAGUGUAUGUCACAAACAUUUUGAUAAGUCAACAGUCAACACUAUAUACUUGCACGUAUAGAUCUAAUUAGCUAGGGUUGUGUUGCAGGCUAUUGCUCAAGAAUCAAUCUGAUGAAUGGUGUUAUUGUGAAUCGAUCAAGUCGAUGGAACGCUGGAAGAGCAAAGGCACAUCUGAGUUAUAACAAAAUUAAGCCAUACAAUGAGGUCGAUGUGAGAUUGUUGAUUAGCGACUUCUUAAUAACAAUCUCAUGGUUAUGGACGGCGGCUCUCAUUAAAGUCUUGACUUACCAGGUUUUCAAUGGCGGAGAGGUCCUCAGAUGGAUAAUUUAUAUCCUCUCUAGGUUCUUGUUUGCUUGGUUGAACAAUAUCACGGACGGAGGAGACCAUCAUCCACUCAUCGUCAUCGCCUGUGCUACUCCCGACAGUCUAUCCGAAUUUCAUUUCGGCGUUGUCUUGAGAAUCCUCGUUCAGGUAUAUAUGUGUCAAUAAAUCAAUAUAUAGUUAAUCAAUAUAUAGCAGAAUAUUCCCUUUUGAAAUAAAAUUACAUGAAUAUUGGAUGGAUCAGGUGGUUGGAUCCACAGUUGGCG